UACGGGGGGGGCAAGCGUUGUUCGGAAUUACUGGGCGUAAAGGGCUCGUAGGCGGCCUGUUAAGUCGGACGUGAAAUCCCUCGGCUCAACCGGGGAACUGCGUCCGAUACUGGCGGGCUUGAAUUCGGGAGAGGGAUGUGGAAUUCCAGGUGUAGCGGUGAAAUGCGUAGAUAUCUGGAGGAACACCGGUGGCGAAGGCGGCAUCCUGGACCGACAUUGACGCUGAGGCGCGAAAGCCAGGGGAGCAAACGGG
rnacentral:rRNA from 1 species